AUUGAACGCUGGCGGCAUGCUUUACACAUGCAAGUCGAACGGCAGCGCGGGCUUCGGCCUGGCGGCGAGUGGCGAACGGGUGAGUAAUGCAUCGGAACGUGCCCAGUAGUUGGGGGUAGCCCGGCGAAAGCCGGAUUAAUACCGCAUACGACCUGAGGGUGAAAGCGGGGGACCGAAAGGCCUCGCGCUAUUGGAGCGGCCGAUGUCGGAUUAGCUAGUUGGUGGGGUAAAGGCUUACCAAGGCGACGAUCCGUAGCUGGUCUGAGAGGACGACCAGCCACACUGGGACUGAGACACGGCCCAGACUCCUACGGGAGGCAGCAGUGGGGAAUUUUGCACAAUGGGGGCAACCCUGAUCCAGCCAUGCCGCGUGCGGGAAGAAGGCCUUCGGGUUGUAAACCGCUUUUGUUCGGGAAGAAAUCCUCUGGGCUAAUACCCCGGGGGGAUGACGGUACCGGAAGAAUAAGCACCGGCUAACUACGUG
rnacentral:rRNA from 1 species